ACGGAAGCCGCCAGCAAUUCUGCAAUUACAGUUCAGGUUUUCCUACCCUAGGACUUGUUCCCACAGCUCUCAGCUAUUGCAGGCUCCACAAGAUCAAGAACCUCAUCCAUCAGAGAGCCUGGCCCACAGUAGCUUCUCCGUGAAUAUUUACUGACCUGAUGGAUGGAUGACUGAAUGACUGAAUCUACAAAAGGAGGGGAUUGGCCUCGGCACAAUGGCUGGAGCUUGAGCAGCCAUCAUGGACCAUGAGGCAACGUGCUAUAAAUAUGGUGGAGCAGCAACUUGGAAGACAUUUGGGUCUCUGGUGACUUUAGUCACCCUAUCAACCCUGGACUGCCUACCUUCAGACUUUUCUUAUGGGAUAGAUAAAUAAACAUCUAUGUCUUUAAGGCAACUAUUAUUGUUUUUUCUGUUAUUGCAACCAGAGCUAAUCCUAACUAAUACUAUACCCACUCCCUAAGAUGGGACUGUAGCUUGACAAGUAGCUUCAUGCAAUGGGGUGAAGUUUU